rnacentral:rRNA from 1 species
GAUGAACGCUGGCGGCGUGCCUAAUACAUGCAAGUCGAGCGAACAGACGAUGAGCUUUCUCCUCUGACGUUAGCGGCGGACGGGUGAGUAACACGUGGAUAACCUACCUAUAAGACUUGGAUAACUUCGUAAAACCGGAUCUAAUACCACAUAAUAUAUUGAACCGCAUGAUUCAAUAGUGAUAUACGCUUUGCCUGUCACUUAUAGAUGGUUUCGCGCCGCAUUAGCUAGUUGGUAAGGUAACGGCUUACCAAGGCGACGAUGCGUAGCCGACCUGAGAGGAUGACCAGCAACACUGGAACGGAGACAGGGACCAGCCUCCGAAGGGAGGCAGCGGUGGGGAAUAUUCGGGAAGGGGCGGAAGCGAAAAGUAGCCAAGCGGGGUGGGUGAGGAAGGGCUUCGGGUCGUAAAGCAUUUUUAUUGGGAAAGAAAAAAAGCAGAUUAAUAUCCCACGGUAAUGACGGUACCUAAAGAAAAAGCACCGGCUAACUCCGUG